rnacentral:SRP_RNA from 1 species
CCGUGCUAGGUGGGGAGGUAGCGGUGCCCUGUAACUUGCAAUCCGCUCUAGCAAGACUGAAUCCCUUUACCGAGGCUGUAUCCGCAUGUAGGGCCUGCCUCUUGCACGUAGUGUUGACGUCUGGGUCCUGCGCAAUGGGAACCCAUGAACCAUGUCAGGUCCGGAAGGAAGCAGCAUUAAGUGGAAUUUCUCAUGUGCCGCGGGGCAGCCUAGGCUGAGCUGUCGACAGGAGUAACGCUUAUGUGCGGCAGUCGAAGGAAGGUGCACGG